rnacentral:rRNA from 1 species
UAGUAACGGCGAGUGAAGAGGGAAAAGCUCAAAUUUUGAAUCUGGUGUCUUUGGCGCCCGAGUUGUAAUCUAGAGAAGUGUUUUCUGCCUCGGACCACACAUAAAUUCCCUGGAAUGGGGUGUCAUAGAGGGUGAGAAUCCCGUUUGUGGUGUGGACUACCUUGGCUCUGUGAUACACUCUCAACGAGUCGAGUUGUUUGGGAAUGCAGCUCAAAAUGGGUGGUAAAUUCCAUCUAAAGCUAAAUAUUGGCGAGAGACCGAUAGCGAACAAGUACCGUGAGGGAAAGAUGAAAAGCACUUUGGAAAGAGAGUGAGACAGUACGUGAAAUUGUUGAAAGGGAAGCGUUUGAAGUCAGUCACAUCGGUUGGAAUUCAGCCUGGCUUUGCCUGGUGUACUUUCUGGCAGAUGGGUCAGCGUCAAUUUUGACUGAGGGAAAAAGACUUGAGGAAUGUGGCUGUCUUUGGGCAGUGUUAUAGCCUCUUGUUGUAUGUCUCAGUUGGGAUUGAGGACCGCAGCACGCCUUAUGGCCGGGGUUCGCGCCCUCGGAACGUGCUUAGGA